rnacentral:rRNA from 1 species
CCUACGGGUGGCAGCAGUGAGGAAUAUUGGUCAAUGGACGAGAGUCUGAACCAGCCAAGUAGCGUGAAGGAUGACUGCCCUAUGGGUUGUAAACUUCUUUUAUAUGGGAAUAAAAUGUUCCACGUGUGGGAUUUUGUAUGUACCAUAUGAGUAAGGAUCGGCUAACUCCGUGCCAGCAGCCGCGGUAAUACGGAGGAUCCGAGCGUUAUCCGGAUUUAUUGGGUUUAAAGGGAGCGUAGGUGGAUUGUUAAGUCAGUUGUGAAAGUUUGCGGCUCAACCGUAAAAUUGCAGUUGAAACUGGCAGUCUUGAGUACAGUAGAGGUGGGCGGAAUUCGUGGUGUAGCGGUGAAAUGCUUAGAUAUCACGAAGAACUCCGAUUGCGAAGGCAGUUCACUGGACUGCAACUGACACUGAGGCUCGAAAGUGUGGGUAUCAAACAGGAUUAGAUACCCGUGUAGUC